GACGAACGCUGGCGGCGUGCUUAACACAUGCAAGUCGAACGGUGAAGCGCCUUCCUUUUUGGUGGGUGUGGAUGAGUGGCGAACGGGUGAGUAACACGUGAGUAACCUGCCCCCUUCUUCUGGAUAACCGCAUGAAAGUGUGGCUAAUACGGGAUACUCCGUGUCUGUCGCAUGAUGGGUCUGGGAAAGAUAUUGUUUCGGUGGGGGAUGGGAUCGCGGCCUAUCAGCUUGUUGGUGGGGUGAUGGCCUACCAAGGCGGUGACGGGUAGCCGGCCUGAGAGGGUGGACGGUCACACUGGGACUGAGACACGGCCCAGCCUCCUACGGGAGGCAGCGGUGGGGAAUAUUGCACAAGGGGCGCAAGCCUGAUGCAGCGACGCCGCGUGAGGGAUGGAGGCCUUCGGGUUGUGAACCUCUUUCGCCAGAGAAGCAGGCCUGCCUCGUUUGUGGGUGGGUUGACGGUAGCUGGAUAAGAAGCGCCGGCUAACUACGUG
rnacentral:rRNA from 1 species